rnacentral:rRNA from 1 species
UGAACGCUGGCGGCGUGUCUAAGGCAUGCAAGUCGAGAGCAGUUCGGCUGCUCGGCAAACGGGAGAGUAACACAUUGGUAACCUACCCUGAGGACGAGAAUAACUCCGAGAAAUCGGAGAUAAUACUCGAUAAUAGUGGGGGGACAUAAGUCAUUCCCACUUAAAGCUCCGACGCCUCGGGAGGGGCCUAUGGCCUAUCAGCUUGUUGGUAAGGUAAAAGCUUACCAAGGCUACGACGGGUAGCGGGUGUGAGAGCAUGACCCGCCUCACUGGGACUGAGACACUGCCCAGACUCCUACGGGAGGCUGCAGUCAAGAAUCUUCCUCAAUGGCCGAAAGGCUGAAGGAGCGACGCCGCGUGAUUGAAGACGCCCUUCGGGGUGUAAAAAUCUUUUCUGAGGGACGAAACAAUGACGGUACCUCAGGAAUAAGGGGCUGCUAACCUC